GAAAAAGAAAAAGAACAAGGUUUCCGCCACUAAAUCCUAUUCCGUUCAUUAUCAAUAAUAUUUGCGGAACUGGAGCUUAUGAAUCUUCUGGGUUUCGGUUCGUAGGUUCACGUCCAACCUUAUCGUCUACCUGUGUUCCAGGAGAGGCAUCCUGUCUGAUCCUUUUGAACAGUUUUGACGAAAAAACUAUAAACGACACUUAUGAGUUUGAUUUCUGCAAGCUUCAAAUUCGGUUUGUCUCCUCAAACAAGACUUUUUACAGGAAAGUCUUUUACCACUCGAUCAUCACGAGGGUUUCUUACCAUCCGAGCAGUGCAAGAGAAUGGAGGUCCUCGAAGAUUGGUUGACAUCAUAAGGCUUGUGCCCGACAUUUCCAGGAAUUACUUUCGAAGCCCUUCUCGAAGGGCACUUUUUGGUGGAAUCUCCCUGUUGGGAGGUUUUUACGUCGCACAAACAAUCUCUCUGUCCUUCGGAGCUUUAGGAGUAAAUGAUGUGAUUGCAGCGGUCGUAUGUGUGCUACUGACGGAGUAUGUGACAAGGUUCUAUUACAGCCGUCCGAAGGUAACCUUCCCCAUUGCUCUUCUCAACAAUUUCAAGAUGGGUUUCACUUAUGGACUCUUCAUCGAUGCUUUUAAGCUUGCCAGUUGAUUAAACCCAUUUUAUCUCGACCCUUGUGAUUGUCAUUAAUUCUUAGUAUCGAGUUUAUAUACCUCUCGAAUUUCCCAUCACGAUAUACGUCUGAGUUUAUUCUUCUCUUACGUGUCGGUGAAGCAAACUCUCAGACAAAAUGAUUCGAUGUAUUACGUUAACCUAAUCGUUAUGCUGUGAAGCUAGCAACUUUGUGGUUUCGGACACGGAUCUCUCCCUGUAACUAUUGUACUGAAUUGAAUGUGGUUUUUUUCGCC